CCUACGCGAGGCAGCAGUGAGGAAUAUUGGUCAAUGGACGAGAGUCUGAACCAGCCAAGUAGCGUGAAGGAUGAAUGCCCUAUGGGUUGUAAACUUCUUUUAUAUGGGAAUAAAAUGUUACACGAGUGGGAUUUUGUAUGUACCAUAUGAAUAAGGAUCGGCUAACUCCGUGCCAGCAGCCGCGGUAAUACGGAGGAUCCGAGCGUUAUCCGGAGUUAUUGGGUUUAAAGGGAGCGUAGGUGGAUUGUUAAGUCAGUUGUGAAAGUUUGCGGCUCAACCGUAAGAUUGCAGUUGAAACUGGCAGUCUUGAGUACAGUAGAGGUGAGCGGAAUGCGUGGUGUAGCGGGGAAAUGCGUAGAUAUCGCGAAGAACUCCGGUUGCGAAGGCAGCUCACUGGACUGCAACUGACGCUGAGGCUCGAAAGUGAGGGUAUCAAACAGGAUUAGAUACCCUAGCAGUC
rnacentral:rRNA from 1 species